CCGAAAGAUGGUGAACUAUGCCUGAGUAGGGCAAAGUCAGAGGAAACUCUGAUGGAGGCUCGAAGGGGUUCUGACGUGCAAAUCGAUCUUCAAACUUGGGUAUAGGGGCGAAAGACUAAUCGAACCAUCAAGUAGCUGGUUCCCUCCGAAGUUUCCCUCAGGAUAGCUGGAACUUAUGAGAAAGUAGUUUUAUCAGGUAAAGCGAAUGAUUAGAGGCUUUGGGGAAGAAACUUCCUCGACCUAUUCUCAAACUUUAAAUAGGUAAGAUUUGAAGGAUACUUAAGUGAUCUUUCAAUCUCUUGAAUAUAAAGUUCUUAGUGGGCCAUUUUUGGAAGCAGAACUGGCGAUGUGGGAUGAACCGAACGUUAAGUUAAAGUGCCAAAUAAUACGCUCAUGAGAUACCAUAAAAGGUGUGGUUCAUUUGACAGCAGGACGGUGGCCAUGGAAGUCGGAACCCGCUAAGGAGUGUGUAACAACUCACCUG
rnacentral:rRNA from 1 species